UACGGAGGGGGCUAGCGUUGCUCGGAAUCACUGGGCGUAAAGGGUGCGUAGGCGGGUCUUUUAAGUCAGGGGUGAAAUCCUGGAGCUCAACUCCAGAACUGCCUUUGAUACUGAAGAUCUUGAGUUCGGGAGAGGUGAGUGGAACUGCGAGUGUAGAGGUGAAAUUCGUAGAUAUUCGCAAGAACACCAGUGGCGAAGGCGGGUCUCUGGGCCGAUACUGACGCUGAGGAGCGAAAGCGUGGGGAGCGAACAGG
rnacentral:rRNA from 1 species